UCACAAUGCUUCUUCCUGUAACAUUCUAUCUACAGCUGCUGACGUUUCCAGUUUCCAUGCAGGAAGACAGGUAGGAGGAGAUAAUUUGGCAAAGAGAUUUGCAGAGUGUCGGGUGACCGGCAAAGAGAUCUGCAAAGUGUCAGUUGAAGACGACGGGAGGGCCGCAGAGGUAGCAACGACUGGAGUAUAACAUGCAGGAGAUCAUCAUUUGGCAAAGUUCUGGCAAAGAGAUUUGCAGAGUGUCGGGUGACCGGCAAAGAGAUCUGCAAAGUGUCAGUUGAAGACGACGGGAGGGGUCGCAGAGGAAUUAGUGACUGGAGAAUAGAAUGCAGGAGUGGGUGAUCAAUGAAUAGCUGCCCUAUUAGGAGAUGCGGUAAAGGUGCCGGCUGUCGGGUUUACGGCAGUCAGAAUACUGACACUGGGAUCCCGACACUCUUCAGAAUCCCGACGUUGGAACUCCGAAUGGGCAAGGAUGCCGACGCCCGUAUCCCCACGAUCAUAGGUUUAGGGCUGGGCAUGGGGGGGUUAGGAGGGUUAGGUUUCCGCGUCAGACGGGGAGGUUAGGUUUAGACAUCAGGUGGGGGGUGGUUAGGGUUAGGCUGCGGAUAGGGUGGGUUAGGCACCCCCGGGGAAGGUUAGGCUGCGU